UGAAAUAUUAUUAGUAUUAUAAAGUGUACCGGCUGGAACAGACAACACAAAAAUUGUAAAUUUUCCAAGUUUUAUUCGGUUUAAAUUUUGACUAGAGAUUAAGAAUAAAGUGAAAUUAUGUUUAAGCUAGUUUAAGAAAAAAGUGAAAAACAAAAAAACACAAACAGAACCAAACAAAAAAAGACAGUGAAAAGAAAACAAAAGAGGCUCAUCUCUGUCUAAGGCUCUACACAGGCUCUGUAUGCAACACAGACCAACCAAACCAACGAUGGCUACAAAAAAAGACAGUGAAAAGAAAACAAAAGAGGUUCGUUUUGUAAGAAAGCAUUUAGUUCCUGCUCGAGUAAUAAGUUCACUCUAUUUAGGCUCAUCUCUGUCUAAGGCUCUACACAGGCUCUGUAUGCAACACAGACCAACCAAACCAACGAUGGCUACAAAAAAAGACAGUGAAAAGAAAACAAAAGAGGCUCAUCUCUGUCUUUGGCUCUACACAGGCUCUGUAUGCAACACAGACCAACCAAACCAACGAUGGCUACAAAAAAAGACAGUGAAAAGAAAACAAAAGAGGCGCAUCUCUGUCUUAGGUUCUACACAGGUCUCUGUAGGCAACACAAACCAACCAACCCAACAAUGGCUACAAAAAAAGACAGUGAAAAUAAAACAAAAUUGGCUCAUCUCUGUCUUUGGCUCUACACAGGCUCUGUAUGCAACACAGACCAACCAAACCAACAAUGGCUCCUGUAUAUUUACAAUUACCCGAGAAACAAUAAAAUAACAACUAAAAGGCUCUUUCGAUCAACUGUGGGGCCCUUCUAAUGUCUCCGUCGUUGUCAACGUCAUCGACUGCAGACUCGCUUGGUUUUUUUAUGAACCCAUUGAAGCAUACAUAUAUUUUGAUAAU